rnacentral:rRNA from 1 species
GGGUCAGUAGGUUGGUCGUGCCACCGGUACGUACUGUUCUCACUGAUUCCUCCUUCCUGAAGAACCGUAAUGCCAUUAAUUUGGUGUUGCGGGGAAACAGGACUGUUACUUUGAAAAAAUUAGAGUGUUUAAGGCAAGCUAACGCUUGAAUACAUUAGCAUGGAAUAAUGAAAUAGGACGAUCGAUCCUAUUUUGUUGGUUUCUAGGAUUGACGUA